rnacentral:rRNA from 1 species
GAUGAACGCUAGCUACAGGCUUAACACAUUCAAGUCGAGGGGUCUUUUGGAGCCUGCUUUAAAAGACGACCGGCGCACGGGUGAGUAACGCGUAUCCAACCUGCCCUUCAUAUUGGGAUAGCCUUCCGAAAGGAAGAUUAAUACCGAAUAACAUGAUAGAGUUGCCUGAUUUUAACAUGACAGCCCCGGCGACGAAGGAUGGGGAUGCGUUCGUUUAGGUAGUAGGCGGGGUAACGGCCCACCUAGCCGACGAUGGAUAGGGGUUCUGAGAGGAAGGUCCCCCACACUGGAACGGAGACACGGUCCAGACUCCUACGGGAGGCAGCAGUGAGGAAUAUUGGUCAAUGGGCGCAAGCCUGAACCAGCCAAGUAGCGUGAAGGAUGACUGCCCUAUGGGUUGUAAACUUCUUUUAUACGGGAACAAACCCCGGUACGUGUACCGGAUUGCGUGUACCGUAUGAAUAAGCAUCGGCUAACUCCGUGCCAGCCGCCGCUGUAAAAC